rnacentral:lncRNA from 1 species
UAGUUUCAAAAGAAAUUUCAGUUUAAAAUACCGUAGUCAUUUGAUAGUGUGAUGAGCUUUUCUGAAGAAUCCCGAGCUCGUAAGAACCUCAAAAUCUAUAAAACAAAAGCAACCAAAACAAAUACACAGUAAGCUAUUUAAAGCUUAGUAAGUCAUAAGCUUAAGCAUAUUUAUUAUUCAUAACAUAUAACAUUUAACUAAUAUAACCUAUAUUAUAUACCAUACCAUAAAUAAAGACAUCAUCCAUUAUAAUUUCAUACCUUGAUUUCAAACUCAAGCUAUAUAAUCUAAAAUAAACUUAUAUAUAAUUAUAACCUUUCCAUUGAACAACAUUUAAUUCAACAAGGGCCGAAUCAACAGCUUAUAUACAUAUAUAUGGAUUUAGUUAAUUCAAAUGCCAUUUUCACAUACUUUCCAUAAUUAUAAAUAACAACUUAACCUAUUUGUAAACAUACAUUUAAC